CUGCGUUGAUAUUUAAGUGAUCAGGAUUACACUGUAGCGUUAGACAGUUACGCACAAUUCUUUCGGAUGAUUAGUUUAUAAGGGUUAAAUUAUUGGGCACGCGUGUAUGUGCUAACUGUUGAGCUAACUUCGGUGAACCCUGGAUAAAAGGACGCUGCUGCUGAGAGGACUUCAAUCUUUCCUUUCGUACGUGAGCUGUUCCUCCAGAACUGACAAACCACUGUGACUUUAGACAUGGUGGUGGGGGCUGCUGAGCACACACAAGCGUGACAUCCCCGUCUCAAGUGGACCGACACAAUUAAUCCGAGGGACAGUGGAGACCUGCUGACAGAGCAAGAUAAGAGCUGGAAGGAGGUUUGUUGAUGGAUGUUGAAGGCUGCCCCGGUCCCACAGCAAUUAACUCUUCUCCUGCAAGAAGCAGCCUGUCAAGUUGAUGGAAUCUCCCCACCACUGCUGCCAGCCAC